GGCUCAGGUGAAUGCACUGCUGUGGCUGCGUACGUAGAGGCCGACUAACGAUGUAGUGUGAAUUGACUGACCAGUGAUGAAAUCUCCAAAGUGAAGAUUCAGGUUACAUCAUCAGCUCGCACAGCAAUGAAGAGGUGACACUUUCUUCGCAUCACUGAAACUCCUGUGGAAGUGUUAUUGGCUAUCAGAGAUCACUUGACAAGUAACGUGCACCGCUGGCAGGUUGGACCAAGUCAUCGAUGUGUGAAUACAAGACUGAACGCAAGAUGUGCCCAGCAGCCUUGGAU